rnacentral:rRNA from 1 species
AAAGUCUGACCUGCCCUAUGAUAAAUUUUUAUUAAAUGGCCGCGAUAAUUUGAUCGUGCAAAGGUAGCAUAAUAAUUAGUUUUUUAAUUGAGAACUGGUAUGAAAGGUCGAACGAGAAAAAGACUGUCUCAAUUUAAAUUUAUUAGAAUUUUAUUUUUAAGUAAGAAAGCUUAAAUUUAUUUAAAAGACGAGAAGACCCUAUAGAGUUUUAUAUUUAUUAAGAUUUUUAAGAUUGAAGAAUUUAAUUUUUAAUUUUUUUAUAUAAUAUUUGGUUGGGGCGAUUGGAAAAUUAAAUAAACUUUUCUUUAUAAUUUUACAUUGAUUUAUGAUUAAUUGAUCC